GUGCUGUUCGCCCAGCGGCUAGGGCAGAUGUCUCAUAAACAUCAGCGGCGUGGGUUCGAAUCCCACACAGCGCA
rnacentral:tRNA from 1 species